rnacentral:rRNA from 1 species
GAAAGUAAGUAAGGGCGUAUGGGGGAUGCCUAGGCUCUUGGAGGCUAAGAAGGACGUGGUAAGCUGCGAAAAGCUGCGGGGAUUUGCAAACGAGACUCGAUCCGCAGAUAUCCGAAUGGGACAACCCGGCAGGUAGAAGACCUGUCACACCGCGAGGUGAGCUAACCCUCUGAACUGAAACAUCUAAGUAGGAGGAGGAAAAGAAAGAAACAUCGAUUUCCAAAGUAGCGGCGAGCGAAAUGGAAGAAGCCCAAACCGAUAUUGUUACGGCAAUAUCGGGGUUGUAGGACUGCAAUAUUCAAUUAACAAUGAACUGGAAUGGUCUGGAAAGUCCAUCCAUAGAGAGUGAAAGGCUCGUACAGGUAAGUUUGUUAUGCGAAAGCAGUAUCCUGAGUAUGGCGGGACACGAGGAAUCCUGUCAGAAUCAGCCGGGACCACCCGGUAAGGCUAAAUACUCCCAAGAGACCGAUAGUGGACCAGUACUGUGAAGGAAAGGUGAAAAGAACCCCGAACAGGGGAGUGAAAUAGAACCUGAAACCAUACGCUUACAACCGGUCGGAGCAGCUUCGUGCUGUGACGGCGUGCCUAUUGAAUAAUGAGCCUACGAGUUACUAAUCACUAGCGAGGUUAAGUGCAAGGAUGCACGGAGCCGAAGCGAAAGCGAGUCUGAACAGGGCGUUUAGUUAGUGGUUGUAGACGCGAAACCUUGCGAUCUACCCUUGAGCAGGUUGAAGGUUGGGUAAAACCAACUGGAGGACCGAACGAAUAAGCGUUGAAAAGCUUCUCGAUGACUUGAGGGUAGGGGUGAAAGGCUAAUCAAGCUGGGAAAUAGCUCGUACUCCCCGAAAUGCCUUUUGGGGCAGCGUUGUAAUAAAGAGUCUACUGGAGGUAGAGCUACUGAUUGGAUGCGGGGGCUUCACCGCCUACCAAAUCCUGACAAACUCCGAAUGCCAGUAGUAUGAUUUACAGCAGUGAGUGACUGGGUGCUAAUGUCCAGUCGCAAAAGAGGAACAACUCAGACCAGCAACUAAGGUCCCGAAGAAUAUGCUAAGUUGAUCUAACGAUGUUUUGUUGCAGAGACAGCUAGGAUGUUAGCUUGGAAGCAGCUAUUCAUUCAAAGAGUGCGUAACAGCUCACUAGUCGAGCGACAGAGCGUGGAUAAUAAACGGGCAUCAAGCAUAUCACCGAAGUUCUGGGCGCGAGAGCGCGGUAGGGGAGCAUUCCAUUCAGCGUCGAAGCAGUUUCGUGAGGAAUUGUGGAGCGUAUGGAAAAGCAAAUGUAGGCAUGAGUAACGAUAAUGCGGGAGAGUAACCCGCACACCGCAAGACCAAGGUUUCCUGAUCAACGCUAAUCGGAUCAGGGUUAGUCGGGUCCUAAGGGUAAGCCGAACGGCGAUCUCGAUGGAUAAUCGGUUAAUAUUCCGAUACUAACAUAUACCUCGAUGGAGAGACGAAGGAACGUAAGUGCCGCCACCUGACGGAAUAGGUGGUUAAAGGGCGUAGGUAUAGGGGCAGAUUAAGAGUUAGUCCUUGCUGAAACCUGACAGUACAGAGAGCCUACGGGCAAUUUGAUAGAGCACCCAAGUCGACUUCCGAGAAAAUCUUCUAAGUUAUAGUAUAUGUUACCCGUACCGUAAACCGACACAGGUGGUCGAGGAGAGUAUCCUAAGGUGCUCGAGUGAAUCACGGUUAAGGAACUAGGCAAAUUAACCCCGUAACUUCGGGAAAAGGGGUCCCUAUGAAAGUAGGGCGCAGCGAAGAGGUCCAGGCGACUGUUUAUCAAAAACACAGGGCUCUGCAAAUUCGAAAGAAGACGUAUAGGGCCUGACACCUGCCCGGUGCUGGAAGGUUAAGAGGGGAUGUCAUCGCAAGAGAAGCAUUGAAUCGAAGCCCCAGUAAACGGCGGCCGUAACUAUAACGGUCCUAAGGUAGCGAAAUUCCUUGUCGGGUAAGUUCCGACCUGCACGAAUGGUGUAACGAUCUGGACACUGUCUCAACCGUGAGCUCGGUGAAAUUGUAGUCCCGGUGAUGAUGCCGGGUACCCGCAACGGGACGAA